GGGCGCGAGCGGCAGCUGUCAGGCCACCGAGGUCCAAGCCGCACUUGCUGCCCCAUUGAGGACGAGGAGGCAGCAGGAGCAGUGACGGUGACUCUAAGGAGCCGGAUUCCCGGCACGCAGAGCUGACCUGCCUGGCACCCGCGGCCCUCUCCUGUUUCCUUCCCAUUGUGUUGGCACCCUAAAAAGAAAGAAUAAAACAACAACAGGAAAAAAAGGAAAAUAUUUAAAUUGUGACAAAAACCCACUGGAUAAGCCAGCUGCAGAAUAUAUCCUGAGGUACCUGCUUUAUGGAAUUAUUCACACUAUUCACCAACAGGAAGAAUAAAGUCAAUCAAUUCAAGGAGUCUCAGAACAGGAGCACAUAGACACCAAACUUUGUGGGACAACAAAUAUAAUGAAGAGUAUGUUUGCGUCUUUCAAACAAAGCCACGUGAAGUCAAGGCCCUUAACACCCACCCCUCCCACAUACUGAGGGGAGAAUUCAGAUGCCCACUGGAGUCAGCCGAUCAGACUGCCUUUUGCACACUCCUUGCCUCCACUCCAGUUUACCGUGGAAGACCUGUCUGCUAUGGCUGAAUCUGAGAGAGAUCCUUGAGUAACGAAUUAAGGAAUGAACAAAUGUUGCUCUGGACAAAGCUGCAGCUUCCACGUCCUGCAUAACUGCACUCAGUACUGACCCUGAAGAUAGGAAAAGCAAUACAACUGGUGCUAGAAAUGUUAUGAGAAUGACUUGGAUGAGCUGAAAAAUGAAUGAUCUCCUUGAACAAGGCUUGCCUGGAAUUUCGCUUUGCUGCAGAGACAUCUGGAAAUGUGGAUUGAGGGUGGAAAUAAAAUGAAGAUGUCCUGGAAACUUCCAACUGAUCCUUGGGUCUAAUUGGUGUGGGAUAUGCAGCACAAGCGUGAGAAGCCAUGAAGUGAGAGCCCCAACAGGGGCUCAGAGUCAAAAACCUAGAUAUUAGCUCCCAAAGUCCUUCCGAAUCUGCUCCAGCUCCCCACAUCACUCCUAGCUGCCCUUGGCCCUCUCCACCUUUCCCCUCCCGAUUCCUUGGAAAAUAAGCGUUCCUCCCCCACCCCCACCCCCAGCUCUACGAACACAAUAGAGAAGAAAAAAUUGUCUUUUAAGAUAAUUUCCUCCAAAUCCUUCUCAGUUUCAACUGCAUGAAGACAAAAUGCAGGCUGUCAAUUCGAUGAACAGAUUGUGAUUAGGCUGGGGGAGGCUAGAAUUGUAAUAAUUUUAUAGCUACAAUAAUAAAGACCCAGAAGUGGGCAAGACCUAUGCAAGUUCACAGACUAGGUUAAAGAAAAGGCCAGCGUUGAAGAUGUGGGUGAUUUCCAAGAAGGAUAAUCGACUUCGAGACAAGUCAAGAACACGAUCUGGGAAUCAGCUCCCUUGACCUAGAGGCCGGUGUCCUCCCAUGGAUGGCCUUUAAAACAACUGGCUGGCAUAUAAUAAGAGGGGCACCUGUUGGAAGACUCCGGAGAAGGAAGACGCAUCUGAAAUUUGGUGCCAUGACUCGAAUCGGGGGACCUCCCUUGGAAGAUCAAUCCCCUGUCCUCCUGCUCUUUACUCCAUGAGAAAGAUCCACCUACAACCUCUGGUCCUCAGGCCAACCAGCCCAAGGAACAUCUCACCAAUUUUAUAUCCGGUACCCACUGGAAAUUGGACUCUCCAACUCACCCGGCAGCCACUCCCAGAGCCACUGGAACUCUGGCCCAACGCUCUCUGACUGACUCCUUCCCAGAUCAUCUCAGCUUAGCGGCUGAAGAUUGAUGCUGCCCAAUCACCUCAGAAGCUUCCUGGACCAUCACAUACGCUUUGGGUAACUCUUACAGUGGAGGAAGACAGGAAUGUCAGAUCUCUGAGCCCAAGCCUGCAUAUAUACAUCCAGAUGGCCUGAAGCAAGUAAAGAAUCACAAAAGAAGUGAAAAUGGCCAGUUCCUGCCUUAACUGGUGACAUUACCUUGUGAAAUUCCUUCUCCUGGCUCAUCCUGACUCAAAAGCUCCCCCACUGAGCACCUUGUGACCCCCACCCCAGCCAGCCAGAGAACAACCCCCUUUGACUGUAAUUUUCCACUACCUACCAAAAUCCUAUAAAACAGCCCCACCCCUAUCUCCCUUAUCUGACUCUUUUCGGAUUCAGCCUGCCUGCACCCAGGUGAUUAAAAAGCUUUAUUGCUCACACAAA
ensembl:lncRNA novel transcript